GAGAAGUUAACUGUUAUUUUGAACUCUGAAUCUCAUAUAGACCAGUGUUCACUUUAUCUUACUCUCUCUCUCUCCUCUCUCUCACUCUCUGUCUCUGAAAUUUCUUCAGAUUUUUUAUUUGUUUCUGGUGCUCUUACUUUUCACAAUGUUGGAACUUAUUGAUGGUUCUGUCUGUGUCUAUUGGGCUGGACAUGCUUUAGGAUCUUUUAUAACCUGUACUCAGUUUGAGUAGUUUCUUGGGUUGAUUCCGUUUUGAUUUUCUCAUUUCUUUGGAAAUUUAUAAUUUUAAAAUUUUGGACCACUGAGAACAUUUUUAAAUUGUCUUAAUCUAACUUUCCACUUCUAUUCUUUUGCCUAUUCUUCUUAGAUAAUUUUUACACUUUAUUUUCAAGCCCUUCUAUUAAUAUUUUUAUUUCUGCUGUGUUAUUUCUAAGACUUACAGAUUUUAUAAUGCUAUUUUUUAGCAUCUCUCCUAUUUUGUGGAUAUGUCAUCUUUUCUCUCUGAAUAUGAUAAUGAGGCUUUCAUUUGUUUUCUAAGUUUUUAUAUCCCUAGGUAUUUACUGUUUUGAUAAUUUUUUCUUCCCUGUUUGUUUGCUUUGCUUUUUUCUUCCAAGAUAAAGCCUGGAAGCUGCACGUCACCUGCCAGCUUUGUGUGUGCCCAGUGAGUGCAGGUGGCAUAAUGACCAGCGGUGACUUGAAUGACAAGGGGACAGAACAGCUGGACAAUCCAAUUCCUAGAUGCUUUCUCCAGUUAUGGCCCUGACUGGGAUCUCCGAAGAAUGACUCAGCUGAAACUGUCAGUGAGGAUGCUUACCUGUGGUCUCCCCAUCAUGGUGGUAUCAGGGUUGUUGAACACCUUACAUGGCUCCAAAAGCAAGUGUUCUGGAAUGUAAGGCAACAGCUGUGUGGUCUUUCAUAAUCCAGCAUCAGAAGUCACAUGGCAUCACUCCUGCUAAAAUUUCUUUGUGGAAGCAGCCACAAAACUGCCCAAAUUCAAGUAGAGGGCACACAGAUCUUAUUUUUUGAUGGGAGGACUCACAAAAAUUUUGCCACCAUAUUAUAAAAACACUAUAAGAUCUAAUAGUAACUUUAACUUUUUUUAACCAAUCCUUCUAUUUUCAGCCCAGACUUCACUUCCUUAUUCAGAUGUAUAAAUGUCUUCUGUGGCUUUGUGAUCAAAUCUGAAUGUUUCUUGGAUUUACCCCUGCCAGCUAAGGAUUUGGCCUUCUUUGAUCUGUUAAAUCAGUUCUCAAACACUGACUUGUUUUCCAUCUAAAAUAUCAGGGUGACCUUUAUCCCAUUCUCAUUGCUUUGAGGAUUUUGUGCCCCCUUUUUUAAAGUCACUUUCUAUGUAUUUUUAUAUGAGUGAGGUUUUGGGAGAAAGUACAGAUAAAUAUAUAUUCUCAAUCUACCACUUUAAUUGAAAAUUCUUGUUUUUUCUUUUACAAAAUUCCUAAUGUUUGCCUAACAAACAUUUAUUGAGAAACUGCUGUAUUUUCAGUAUGUGUUAAGGUCUGUGUACAUCUAUUUUAUAUACAUUAUCUUAUUUAAUAUGCUCAUUUAAUUUCCACAUCUUGUUUAACAUUUAUAAUCUUUUGAUUUGUUAAAUACAAUUUGUAGAAGACCAUUGGUUUAGCGUGAGCUGCACCAGGCCUGGCAGACCAAACCAAAAUGUAGUAUCUCAUACUAAAGUUCCAUGCCACCAAGCUGAAACUAAGUUGUUUAUCUGACUUUCCAAGAAGUCAGGAGAAAGAGAUAACAGUCAAAUCCCCAAAUAUGCUAGUUUGAGUUGGCAUGAUAGGAAAGUUCCUUCCACUUUAGCCUUUAUACGAAAGUAACUUUGGAAUGAUCAGUCUGCUUUUUGUUUCCUGUUUCUGUUUCAGCACUUUUUGUAAAGCCAACUUCUUCUCAGCACAUCAGAACACUCAUUCUACUUUAUAGAAUGAGGUAUAAUCUGAAUCUAAAAUCACAAAUAAAAGCCAAUUAAGAUUUUUAAAGUAAGUUUGUUGUAAUUUUGUCUUUUGACAGAUUUCAUCAUUGCCUACAUUUGUCUUCAGACGACCUGCAGUACAAACUUGGCUUAAACCUGCAGUUGACAAUGGUAACAGGAAUCUUAUUUUAAAAAAUAAUAUGCGCCACCAGCUAAGUUGGUCAUGAUGAGGUCUGGGCCUUGAUAGCCUUCUGGGUUUUAAUUCACACAAUAUGUUUGAAAAAAGAAAAAUCAAAGUAACUGUAAUUUUUUUGUAAAGCAAAAUACUUUUUAAAAGCCAUGAGGCACGUGUUACUCAAAGGGCUCCUUGGAUGAAUUAUUUUGUAAGGCAAAUGAUUUGUUAUAGUUCCAAUGACAUCUAAAUUUGCCAGUUGUAAAUACUGGAAUUUUUGGUCCUUGCAUUGAACUUACUGGUAUUGAUGUGCUAUAUAACUAAAUGUCUUCUAAAAGGAUUCACCGUGGGAGAAUAAAUUACAAUGGAUAAAAAACAGCAUUACAAUCCCUCAAUAAAAUGGGAUUUUAACAGACAAAGGUGAGUCAGUGGUGAAAGGCAGGAGAAGAUACAACAGGUAAGUGUCUGACUUCAGGCUGGAGCCCUAAUAUAAUAAUAAGUCCUUCUUGUAUUGUAAUCUCUUACAGCUGAAUCUCCAUGUGCUCUCUCUCUCUUCUAACAUCAAUGCAGCUCCUGGUAUGUGGUCGUUCUCAGGCCCAAAGGCCCAUUUUGCUUUUGGCUGCAACUCUGUAACUCUGUAACAGAGACCAAGUGCCUGCAGGGAGCAGAUGUUUGGGGCAGUAUCUGCUAAGGUGGCUUUGCUGAAACUUGUUUCUCUCAUUGGGUCUUGGAAGUGGCGAAUAGGACGUUCCUAUAGAAAAACUCAGAAAGAUAAUGAAGCUGCUAUUUGCAAGAACUGCAUCUGUCUGACUCUCAGACAGAUCUACACCAGUGUUUAGCAGACAUGCCAAAUGAUAAGAGUCAAUCACAGCCUCUGUAGAAAAUACUGGAACCCUGAUGUGGACUUACUGAAUCAGAAUCUCCAGGCAAUAAGCUUGAGAUUCUCUGAGACUGUGAAAGAUAAUCUUAAAGAGGCACUCACGAAACACAAGCUCCUUCUCCGGGAAAAAGAAUCAUCACCCUUGUUAUCCCAUGAAAAUUCAUCUUCUCCUUUUCAGCUGAUAUGAGGACUUGAUCUGUCCUUUCCUAUAAGUGCCAUCUGUGUUUAAAUGAGGCUGUUACUCUAACUCAAAGCAGACUUGCAAGAGUAAAAUAAUCAAUCUUCAUCAUAUUGCUGCACUUUCGACAGUUAAUUUUCUAGAGUAAUUUGUCAUUGUGAGGAGCAUAAGAUUUGUCUGAAUUUGUGUCAAAGGUUAUUGACUGAAUUGCCACCUCAUCUUUUCAGUCAAUCUAUAAAUAUGGGCAAGUUUGGGCAGAGGCUAAUGGCCUUCUCACUAAGGGGAUGAGAUUGUCCAAGUUAGGCAACUGAUAAGAGGUAGAAAUAUCUAUUGUGUCACCCAUUUCUUGUGGUAGCAUUGACUUAGAGUUAAUCUCAGAAACUUCACUUAACCUUCUUAAUCCUUUUCUUCCUGUAAAACAAGGCUAAAAAUUGUCAUAACUAUAUUCUAGUUUCCACAAAAGCUAAUCUAAGUAUUAAAAUUUUUAUUGUGACUUUGUGAGAGUGAUCCUGUAUUUUUCACAAAACUAAGAAGAAAAUAUUUUUAUUUAGUGUUUUUCUAUGAAUAGCUUUUGGUUUUUGGAAAAACCAUCUGAUCUUUAUUACUAAGAUUCUUGCUUCUUAGGUCAAAUUCUUGUUCCCUGUCUUUAUAUAGAGUCUAAUAUUGGGAACAUACCCAAGGACCACAUGGAUAAUUUUAUGAUGCUUGCUGACUAUUAUGUUUCUUGCCCACUUUAAUAGCCUAAUAAUAAUAGUUACGAAUUCUUAUUGAGAAAUAGCCAUUCUUAAUCAAUGCCAAUGACAGUGUUUCCUCUUUCAGACUGAAGGAAAAACAGGGAGAAAACCAGUUCAUAUAUUAUGGUUAAACACUGAUAAAACAUUUUGGUUAAAUAUCUGCCUUCAUGGGUUAUUGCAAAAUAGAUUAGUUUAAAGCUCAUCUAGCCCUGAAAUAUACAGUUAGAUUAUUUUUUAUGGAUUUCAAUUAUUUUUAUUUCAUUACAGUUAUUUUUUUUUCAAUACAUGGCCUGUUUGAAGAUACAUCAUAGUAAUGGUAACAGCAGCAACCACUGCAGUAAAUAACUGACAAUUGCUGAACAAUUCAUGUCUGCCAUGCCAUGCUAUGAGGGCCUUAAGGAAUAAAUACAACUUAUAUUCAUAAUAAACAUAGGAGGUUGUAGAAGGCUAAAUAAUGGGUCACCAAAGAUACCCACAUCCCAUAAUUCCUGUAACUGGUGACUAUGUUACCUUGCAUGGUAGAAGGGAUUUUGCAGUUGAGGUUAAGGUUAAAGACUUUAUAAAGGCAGAUUAUCUUGGAUUAUCUGGGUGGGUCUUUAAAAGCGGAAGAGAAAAGCAGAAAAGCAAGUCAGACAGACAGAUGCAACUACAGAAGAGACAGUAGGGACUCAACUCAAAUGACUAACUUUGAAGAUGGAGGAGGUGGUCCAUGAGGCAAGGAAUGCACUUGCUUCUAGAAGCUGGGAAUAACCCACAGCUAGAAGCAAAGUAGGAAAUGGAAGUCUCAAUUCUACAUCGUAAGGAAGUGAAUUCUGCCAAUAACUUGAAAGAGAAGGAAAUAGAUUCCCUCCAGAGGCUCUAGAAAAUAAUGUAUCCCUGCUGACACCUUAAUUUGAUUUGAGCCCCAUGAGACCCACGUUGGACUUCUGACUUAUGGAGCUUGUAAGAUAAUAAAUUUGCAUUGUUUCAGCCACUACAUUUGUG
rnacentral:lncRNA from 1 species